GGUGAUAGCUCAGUAGUAGAGCCUCUGCUUUGCAUGCAGAAGGUCCUGGGUUCAAUCCCCAGCAUCUCCA